rnacentral:misc_RNA from 1 species
GAUGAAGAACGUAGCGAAAUGCGAUACUUGGUGUGAAUUGCAGAAUCCCGUGAACCAUCGAGUCUUUGAACGCAAGUUGCGCCCGAAGCCACCAGGUUGAGGGCACGUCUGCCUGGGCGUCACAUAUCGUUGCCCAAUGCCUAUUGCAGUGCAAUAGGAAUUUCUAGGGCGAAUGAUGGCUUCCCGUGAGCGUUGUUGCCUCGCGGUUGGUUGAAAAUCGAGUCCUUGGUAGGGUGUGCCAUGGUAGAUGGUGGUCGAGUUAGAACGAUACCGAUCAUGUGCAUGCUCCCCAAAAUAUGGCCUCUAUGACCCACACGCGUCUUUUGACGCUCAUGACGAGACCUCAGGUCAGGCGGGGCUACCCGCUGAAUUUAAGCAUAUCAAUAAGCGGAGGA